GCGGUACUCUGACCGUGCAAAGGUAGCAUAAUCAUUUGCCUUAUAAUUGAAGGCUAGUAUGAAUGGUUUGACGAGAAUUAAGCUGUCUCUUUUUAACUAAAUAUAACUUUAUUAAGAGGUGAAGAAGCCUGUAUUUCAUUGAAAGACAAGAAGACCCUAUCGAGCUUUAAAGAAUUUAGUAGAUUUACCAUAUAUUAAUAAAAAAGUAAAGCAACUAAAUAUUUUGGUUGGGGCGACUGAGGAACAAACAAAGCUUCCUUUAUGCUAAUUAAAACUUACAAGUAUUGAUCCAAUUUAUUUGAUUAAAGAAAUUAGUUACCGUAGGGAUAACAGCAUAAUCUCCUUUGAGAGUUCUCAUCGAAAAGGGGGUUUGUGACCUCGAUGUUGGACCAGAAUACCCAGAAGAUGCAGCCGUCUUCAAUGGUUGGUCUGUUCGACCAUUAAAAUUCU
rnacentral:rRNA from 1 species